rnacentral:rRNA from 1 species
AAAUGAAUAGACGGGGGCCCGCACAAGCAGCGGAGCAUGUGGUUUAAUUCGAAGCAACGCGAAGAACCUUACCAAGGCUUGACAUCCUCUGACGUGUAUGGAAACAUACAUUCCCUUCGGGGCAGAGAGACAGGUGGUGCAUGGUUGUCGUCAGCUCGUGUCGUGAGAUGUUGGGUUAAGUCCCGCAACGAGCGCAACCCCUAUUGCUAGUUGCCAGCGAGUAAAGUCGGGAACUCUAGUGAGACCGCCGGGGACAACUCGGAGGAAGGUGGGGACGACGUCAAAUCAUCAUGCCCCUUAUGUCUUGGGCUACACACGUGCUACAAUGGCCGGUACAAAGGGCAGCGAAGCCGCAAGGCGGAGCGAAUCUCAAAAAGCCGGUCUCAGUUCGGAUUGUGGGCUGCAACCCGCCCACAUGAAGUCGGAGUUGCUAGUAAUCGCGAAUCAGCAUGUCGCGGUGAAUGCGUUCCCGGGCCUUGUACACACCGCCCGU